UUUAUUCAAUAAAUUAUUCAAUUAUCAAAAUCGUUCAAAUUUACAUAAUUUAGACCUUUUUUUUAAAAGGCAAUUAAAGAGUUUCAUUACUAAUAAAACGUGUACAAAAAAUCUAUCUACCUUUAAUGGUAGGAGCGUCAAAACCAGACAAAGCUUAAGACUUCCUGCCAUGGUUUAUGCCGCACGAAACAAAAGGAAACAUGAGAAUCAAAAAAUCAGGUUGCCUAAGGGAUGAAACAAUCAUUUUUAGGCAUUUCUAGGCUCCCUAUAAAUGACAAAAAGAUUCCAAAAAGCACCUUAGAGUCAUCCCUCCACAUUUCUGUUCCAUUUGUCUAUACAGUUCGCUUAACUCAGCUUGACAUUUGUAUCCCAAUCUGAGUAGCAAUAAAACAAAAACAGGCGCAAUCCUCAAAAAACAAUGGGUUGCAGAUGCACAAACCAAACAGCAUCCGACAUUUGUGCAAUCCAUAAAGAGCAUUGACCAAAACAAAGGAUUUAAACUCAGUAUACCGCUUGGGAUCAGCAUCAUCACUUCAUAAAACGAAUGUCAAUCACCAUACAAUCCAGAAAAACUUCCCUUGUCCAUCCAAAAAUCUGUCUGUUUUACUCCUUGCCCCAGCUCUUCCCACAAUAAUACUCAUAAGUAGUGGUUGACAACGCCACCAUCUCCUUGAUCAUAGACCGAGUUAACCCUAUGCCCAUUGCAAAGGUCCCGACCUUGAGGACCCUUCCUUGGUCUAUCGAGUUAUCGAACUGAAGUUGAGCAGAAGGCUUGUCAUAGCAUACCAAGCCAAACAAGCAGGGACCUUAUCAAUUAAAACUGUUAAGCUUGCAUGAACAUAAUGGAUAGUAAGUCACCAUUUUUAUGGUAAUAAAGAAGCCAAAUCAUGUAGACAGGUCUUCAUCAUGAAAUGUGCAGUGAAAAAGCCAAGGUGAAAACUACCGCCUAUGGAGCACCUACAAAUCAAAAGAUAAAAGGAAAAACGGAUCCGUAACCCUAGUAUCAUCGUAUCAAACAGGAUUCAUGCCUCAGCUCCUCAAAAACAACUUCCUAGUUAACAAAAAAAAGAAAUUAGCAAGCCUCAAGGUACAAACUUGUUUGAGCAUCAUUGAUCAAACUAAAACUCAAGACCAGAAGCAUAACACGACCUUCACUAAUCAUCAAUUUUCAACCCAAAAUAGGAUCUUCAUCAACAAUCAAACCAAUAGCAAAGCAAAGAACAAGAGGACUCGUGACGGGUUGCUCAUGUUAUGAAUUUUGAAAUGCAAAGACAUACCAUCGCAACCCAAACAUUCCUCCCUUUCAUUCCAACCUCAUGGUUCGUCAGCCACCCAAUCAGUAGAACACAAUCAAACUUUUGGACCAAUGAGUACACGCGAAGACUUUCGUCAAGCCUUCACACAAAUGGGCAUACCAGAAAACAAGCUUUACCCUCUUUCCACUUUGAUCAUAUCCACCAUGUCAUCC
rnacentral:lncRNA from 1 species